AAGUCGUAACAAGGUUUCCGUAGGUGAACCUGCGGAAGGAUCAUUAAAGAGAUUGGCUCCGGCCACCUCCAACCCAUUGUUUACCUCCCCGUUUCUUUGGCGCUCCGCGUCAAUAGACCAAACUCUGAACCUUUUGUCUGAGAAAAAAUAAUAAAGUUAAAACUUUCAACAACGGAUCUCUUGGUUCCC
rnacentral:misc_RNA from 1 species